GAGCGGUAAGGCACCUUCGGGUGUACACGAGCAGCGAACGGGUGAGUAACGCGUGGGUAAUCUACCUAGAGGUGGGGGAUAGCCUCGGGAAACCGGGGGUAAUACCGCAUGAGUCCUUUCCAACAUAAGUUGGAUUGGGGAAAGGCGGGGAUCUUCGGACCUGUCGCCUCUGGAUGAGCCCGCGUCCGAUUAGCUUGUUGGUGAGGUAAUGGCUCACCAAGGCAUCUAUCGGUAGCCGGCCUGAGAGGGUGAACGGCCACAUUGGGACUGAGACACGGCCCAGACUCCUACGGGAGGCAGCAGUGGGGAAUUUUGGGCAAUGGGCGCAAGCCUGACCCAGCGACGCCGCGUGGAGGAUGAAGGCCUUCGGGUUGUAAACUCCUGUCAGGUGGGAAGAAGAGCCCUGUGGUUAAUAGCCACAAGGAAUUGACGGUACCACCAAAGGAAGCCCCGGCUAACUCCGUGCCAGCAGCUGCGGUAAUACGGAGGGGGCAAGCGUUAUUCGGAUUUACUGGGCGUAAAGCGCACGUAGGCGGCAAUUUAAGUCACAGGUGAAAGCCCUCGGCUCAACCGAGGAACUGCCUGCGAAACUGGAUUGCU
rnacentral:rRNA from 1 species